rnacentral:rRNA from 1 species
GUGCCGCCGCCGCGGUAAUACCGGCAGCCCAAGUGAUGGCCGCUGUUAUUGGGCCUAAAGCGUCCGUAGCUGGCCGCACAAGUCCGUCGGGAAAUCCGCCCGCUCAACGGGCGGCCGUCCGGCGGAACCUGUGUGGCUUGGGACCGGGAGGCCUGAGGGGUACGAUCGGGGUAGGAGUGAAAUCCCAUAAACCCGCACGGACCACCGAUGGCGAAAGCACUUCGAGAAAACGGAUCCGACAGUGAGGGACGAAAGCCAGGGUCUCCAACCGGAUUAGAAACCCUAGUGUCC